CCAACGUGGAUAUCUCCGGGAAGUCUCUCUCCCCAGGGCUCUGUCCAGGUGGCGUAGGGGAGCACAGGGCUUUGCCCACUGAUGUACAUCCCUUUCCACAGCGUUGCAGAGAAAGCCGGGCCUUAGUGCUCCUGCACAUUCCUACAGCUUCUCAGAGUCUUAUGGACAAUGACUGAGGAGAUAAACCAUGAAGGAAACAUCU